AGGAGCCUCGUGCUCUUGGCUCACUUCAUAGCCAUCUAGUUCUGUGGCCUACCAGUUCUCAUCCUUUGAAUUCUUAGGUUAGACGAGAAGAUACAUGAGAUCUCUAAAUCUUCAGGUUUAAACGUAGAUGUCUUUCACUACACCAGAGUAAAUAGCUUAUUCAAUAUUCAUUUUAUGAUCGUUAUUGGACUUCGGCUUCCUACUGCCUUUCAAAUAGGCCAUCGCAAGAUUUUGUCCAGUAGUAACGCCAGCAUUCAUCCUUUAAUGUUCGUGCCCGUCUCCUUAGUGCUUGAUAGAAAGGAUGCACUUCUUAUGUUAGCAAUGCUUGUGGAGCCUUUGUGGUCAUUCUCAGACAUGCACAGAGUGGGGAAAAACAUUGAGUCACCUGGAAUCCACGUUCAGCUGAGGUUGAACCAGCAAUCCUGGAAUCAGGGCACUACGGGUAACCACAUUCUCACUUUACAAAUGAUAACUCACACACCCCAUGGAAGAUCCGGGAAGUCUUCUGAUGCCCCUGCUUUCCAAGACAAUAUGAUGCUUCUCUACAUUCCAUGGACUAUGACAAGUAUAUCAGUCGUCGAAGUGGGUGGUUUAAUGGCAUGAUUAGCUCCAUUUUCUCUUCCUGCAGCAUAGCAAAGUGCAUAAAGCUUGAGCUCUGUGUCCAGCAGAUCUUUAUUAGAAUUCCAGUCCCCCCACAGUUACAUAUGCUCUCUCCCUGACAGUUUUCACAGAUGAAUCAUCCAGACUCCAUUUCCUAUUAGAGCUGGACCCUCCACUUGGACUUUUGACACUUAGACCCCUCUAGCCCACACAGGGACAUCAGUGCAAUAAUUCUCCCCUUUCUACAGCAUCAUUAAAUUUUGCCUCUCUCCUGGAUCAUCCCAUUCACAUAUUCAUAUGCUGUUAUUUCUCCCAUCUAAAACUGACCAGGCACUGUGGCUCAUGUCUAUAAUCCUAGCACUUUGGGAGGCCAAGGCUGGCAGAUCACUUGAGGCUAGGAGUUUGAGACCAGCCUGGCCAACAUGACAAAACCCCAUCUCUACUAAAAAUACAAAAAUUAGCAGGGUGUGCUGCACUCCAGCUUGGGCGACAGAGCAAGACACUGUCUCAAAAUAAAUAAAUAAUUAAUUAAAAAUAAAAUUACUUUCUCCUGAUCCCA
rnacentral:lncRNA from 1 species